rnacentral:rRNA from 1 species
UAGGGCUAGCCUCAAGUGAUGAUUAUUGGAGGUAGAGCACUGUUUGGACGAGGGGCCCCUCUCGGGUUACCGAAUUCAGACAAACUCCGAAUGCCAAUUAAUUUAACUUGGGAGUCAGAACAUGGGUGAUAAGGUCCGUGUUCGAAAGGGAAACAGCCCAGACCACCAGCUAAGGUCCCAAAAUAUAUGUUAAGUGGAAAAGGAUGUGGCGUUGCCCAGACAACUAGGAUGUUGGCUUAGAAGCAGCCAUCAUUUAAAGAGUGCGUAAUAGCUCACUAGUCGAGUGACACUGCGCCGAAAAUGUACCGGGGCUAAACAUAUUACCGAAGCUGUGGAUUGUCCUUUGGACAAUGGUAGGAGAGCGUUCUAAGGGCGUCGAAGCAUGAUCGCAAGGACAUGUGGAGCGCUUAGAAGUGAGAAUGCCGGUGUGAGUAGCGAAAGACGGGUGAGAAUCCCGUCCACCGAUUGACUAAGGUUUCCAGAGGAAGGCUCGUCCGCUCUGGGUUAGUCGGGUCCUAAGCUGAGGCCGACAGGCGUAG